GAUGAACGCUAGCUACAGGCUUAACACAUGCAAGUCGAGGGGUAACGAGAGGAAAGCUUGCUUCCCUUGUCGACGACCGGCGCACGGGUGAGUAACGCGUAUCCAACCUGCCCCCAACUAGGGAAUAACCUUGCGAAAGUAAGACUAAUACCCUAUAAUUUCCUCAGAUGUCAUCUGACGAGGAAUAAAGAUUUAUCGGUUGUGGAUGGGGAUGCGUCUGAUUAGCUUGUUGGCGGGGUAACGGCCCACCAAGGAAACGAUCAGUAGGGGUUCUGAGAGGAAGGUCCCCCACAUUGGAACUGAGACACGGUCCAAACUCCUACGGGAGGCAGCAGUGAGGAAUAUUGGUCAAUGGGCGGAAGCCUGAACCAGCCAAGUAGCGUGCAGGAUGACGGCCCUAUGGGUUGUAAACUGCUUUUAUACAGGAAUAAAGUUAGCCACGUGUGGUUAUUUGUAGGUACUGUAUGAAUAAGGACCGGCUAAUUCCGUGCCAGCCGCCGCGGUAA
rnacentral:rRNA from 1 species